rnacentral:tRNA from 1 species
AGUAGAAUGGCUGAGGUAUUAUAGGUAAAGGAUUGUAAAUCUUUUUAGGAGUUUAAAACUCUUCUAAUA